rnacentral:rRNA from 1 species
GUCCCAGUUCGGAUUGUAGUCUGCAACCCGGCUACAUGAAGCUGGAAUCGCUAGUAAUCGCGGAUCAGAAUGCCGCGGUGAAUACGUUCCCGGGUCUUGUACACACCGCCCGUCACACCAUGGGAGCCGGAAAUGCCCGAAGUCAGUGACCCAACCGCAAGGAGGGAGCUGCCGAAGGUGGAGCUGGUAACUGGGGUGAAGUCGUAACAAGGUAAC